ensembl:lncRNA
GGAGGCAGUGGCUCCUAGCAGCACCCAUGUGAGAGCUGGCAAGGGGCUGUUCUGACCAAGUCUAGGUGCUAUGGCUGCCCUGCAGAGGCAGCUGGCACCUCCUUGGGGAUGGUGCUAGGUGCUGGCAUUAGGUGCUGAUCUGCGCAAACUGCUCUCUAUGCUCUAUCACACUUUCUCUGUUGGUGUCUGGCAGUUGCUGCCCCUCUGAGAUGAGCGUAUGAUCCACUACAGUCCACAAGCCUUUGCCCCACUGAUGAGAGGAGUACAGCAGACCUAUCCACUGGGGCACUUCAUCACAAUGCUCAGUGGGGAGCAGCCAUGUGACUGCUGGCUCAUAAACUGAGCUCCAGCGUGAUGCCUUGGCUGUCCCAUGCUGCUGUGCAUCAGCCCAGCCACAGGCUGCAGCUCUGGGGUAUAGACACCCAGUGAGCACUCAGGUCCUAGCUGAGCCAUCACCCGAGUAGCAGCAGCAGAUGGAUGUGGAAAGCCUUUAAAUUCAGCAAAUGAUCAAUACUAAACUGAUCUGGAGUCUCUUAUAAGAUUACCCCAGCAUCCGGCAUCCAAUUGUAAAAAAAUCACUCAGCACACUUGGGAGAUGUAAGGAAUGCAGCAGACUCCAUUUAGGAUGCACAGAGCCAGAGUAAGUGACUUCACAAUUGUUUCUUGCAGUAAAUAAUUCAUCCACUUUACAUUUGGUUUUAUUGCUACCCCCUCUCCAUGUCCCUGCCUUGGUUCCUUUCUGCCAGUUUCCUUCUCUUGUCCUGAAAUUCCCAUGCCGGGUAAUUUCUAUCAUCCUGAUUUCCUACCACACACACGUGUGCUUGUACAUACACACAGACACAAAUCAGUCCCAGUCCAACUUUCGCUUGUUGCUGUGCCAGAGAGAGGACUGCUGGGGUAGAGAUGAUGGUGUUUCACUGUUCAGCAUCUGCAGAACUGAGCUGGGCUCGGGCUGGGCCCUGGCCUGGCUUUUGCCACCUUGGUCUCUGCCUCGGUGCUACUUUCACAUAGUGCCAACAUGCAGAACUAUUUGAAAUGCAUUAAUGAUGCUAGUAGCAUGUCUACACUAAGUAGUAAUAGCAUUUGAACAAACUCUGUCUUUGUGACACGAGUUAUCAGCCUUCCAGCUGUGGAGCGUGGCUGCAGCUGGCACACAGCAAGCGGCUCUGGCACAGCAAAGAUGCUUGGGCACAGCACUGGGCUGCACAUCCCUCCCCGGUGCUCAGCAUGGCACAGUCAGAGCCAGGAGGGAUGAAGCAGCAGCUGGAUGGGACCUGGUGUGUGGGGCACGACACAUCUGGGCUGGGGUGUCUUAUAGGCUCUGCCCUGGUCACACACUUGCCAGUAUGGACUCUGCUGGGCUCACUGAAUCAUUGCUCAUGUGUCAGUGCAGGUCACUACAGCUAAAAACAGGUUGACAGGAGUCCCUGCCAUGGCAUGAAACUUUUCUGGCCACGUCAGCUGCGGCAAGACAGUUAUGUGCAUCUCUGAAGCCCUUGGCAGCACGCUGGCUUCUGAGGCAUCCUGCUUCUGGGUAGUUCUGUGGGAAAGAUCAAGUACAAAUUGGCACGUGUCUCAGCUGAAAAUUGUUGAAGUCUGGGAGAGUGUCAGGAGUAGCAUCACACCUGCUUGCCCUGCCCCUGUUCUGCUCCAGGCAGUUGCUCCUGGCCACUCUGGAGACACAACGUGGGCUAGGAGAACUCUUGAGCCAGACUUCUGCUGUUCCCCAUGGAAACCAUUUCGACUGUGUCUGGAGCCUUGCAGACACCUUCCCAGGGGAGGGGGAGCAGCUCUGAUCUGCUGAUGGUGCUUUGAUCCCACCUCUGGUUCUGUCCACCUCUGAUCACUGUGAAGGGCAGGAGACUUGAGAUCGUGGUGGCUGUGGUCUGACCCAAACUGCAUCUUCAUGAAUAGAUUCUCUCUUUCAGGUGUUGCCCAGCUGUCUCCACUGGCUCUUUUAACACUCCUUCCAGCAACACAGCAGGUGACCUUUUGGAGAGAAGUAAUCC